AAAGUUGCAUUUUGUCUAGGAUGUCAUAACAUUAGGGUGUGAUUUCACAAUAUCGAGCCUAGUUUCUAGCUUCUUCAAUUUUUUCGGUUCUAUCACUACAUGGUAUCUACACUUGUUGUGGGAAAAUUGAACAGAACUAAGAUUAAUAAAACAAAAUAAAUGAAUAAAAAAUAAAAAUAAAAACGAAACAAAAUUUAAAACAAGAAAUAGAAGUUUUUCCACUAUUGAUAUAUAUGAAU
rnacentral:lncRNA from 1 species